AUUGAACGCUGGCGGCAGGCCUAACACAUGCAAGUCGAACGGUAACAGGAAACAGCUUGCUGUUUCGCUGACGAGUGGCGGACGGGUGAGUAAUGUCUGGGAAACUGCCUGAUGGAGGGGGAUAACUACUGGAAACGGUAGCUAAUACCGCACAACGUCGCAAGACCAAAGAGGGGGACCUUCGGGCCUCUUGCCAUCAGAUGUGCCCAGAUGGGAUUAGCUAGUAGGUGGGGUAACGGCUCACCUAGGCGACGAUCCCUAGCUGGUCUGAGAGGAUGACCAGCCACACUGGAACUGAGACACGGUCCAGACUCCUACGGGAGGCAGCAGUGGGGAAUAUUGCACAAUGGGCGCAAGCCUGAUGCAGCCAUGCCGCGUGUAUGAAGAAGGCCUUCGGGUUGUAAAGUACUUUCAGCGGGGAGGAAGGGAGUAAAGUUAAUACCUUUGCUCAUUGACGUUACCCGCAGAAGAAGCACCGGCUAACUCCGUG
rnacentral:rRNA from 1 species